CUGCGCCUGCCUUCACAGAGCCUCUUGGAGGACCUGGUGACAGAUAGUCCCAACCUAUGGCGUAAGUGGCCCCAUGUGCUCAGCUCGCCUUCCCCCGCCGCUGACAGCACUCAUCCCUCGCAGGUCUGGCCCGUUUCCAUGGCGACCGCAGUGCCAGGCUGGGCCUGCCUGUGGUCUUGCCACCUGUUAUUACUUCAUCUCUCAAGUGUAAGGAAUUGAGGCACGGCCCCUUAAUUUGCUGCUCAGAACACAUCUGCGGAGGAUAGGCAGGCUCAAGCAAGGAGCAGUAAUGGAAAAGUGACUUGCUGCAGAGAUAAUGCUGGGUUUGAGAUGAAUUCCUGACUAGCUGAGCCAGCACUGGUGUGAGCUGCAGCUGAUUAGCUCCAAGCAUCCAGGUACCAAUCACUCACAACGGAGCCAGGCAAUCAAGCCAGCCUCCACAAAGCAAAGAACAGAUGAAGGCAACAUCCCCGAAAAGGAUCUCAAAGGCCUCUUCAAAAGAUCUCCAAGAGGGAAGUCACCAUCCACAGUCCUAAAAUCUUCA